UGAGGCAGGAGAAUCCCUUGAACCAGGGAGUUGGAGGUUGCAGUGAGCUGAGAUUGCACCACAGCACUCCAGCCUGGUGACAGAGACUCCAUCUCAAAAAAAAAGAAAA
rnacentral:miRNA from 1 species